AUUAGAUACCCGCGUAGUCCCAGCCGUAAACUAUGCGCGUUAGGUGUAUCGGUGACCACGAGUUACCGAGGUGCCGAAGGGAAACCGUGAAACGUGCCGCCUGGGAAGUACGGUCGCAAGGCUGAAACUUAAAGGAAUUGGCGGGGGAGCACCACAACAGGUGGAGCCUGCGGUUUAAUUGGACUCAACGCCGGGAAGCUCACCGGAUAGGACAGCAGAAUGAUUGCCGGGCUGAAGACCCUGCAUGACUAGCUG
rnacentral:rRNA from 1 species